rnacentral:rRNA from 1 species
CCUACGGGAGGCUGCAGUGAGGAAUAUUGGUCAAUGGCCGGGAGCCUGAACCAGCCAAGUCGCGUGAGGGAAGACGGCCCUAUGGGUUGUAAACCUCUUUUGUCAGGGAGCAAGGUGCAGGUCGGGACCUGCUGCGAGAGUACCCGAAGAAAAAGCAUCGGCUAACUCCGUGCCAGCAGCCGCGGUAAUACGGAGGAUGCGAGCGUUAUCCGGAUUUAUUGGGUUUAAAGGGUGCGCAGGCGGAGGCACAAGUCAGCGGUAAAAUCGCGGGGCUCAACCCCGCCCCGCCGUUGAAACUGUGUCCCUUGAGUGCGCGAAGGGUAGGCGGAAUGCGUGGUGUAGCGGUGAAAUGCAUAGAUAUCACGCAGAACUCCGAUCGCGAAGGCAGCAUACCGGCGCGCAACUGACGUUGAGGCUCGAAAGCGUGGGGAGCGAACAGGAUUAGAUACCCUUGUAGUC